GACAGACGGAUGGAUGUCGGGUUGGAGGCCGGGAUCGACUACUUGUCGGACUGCCUCUCAGGGUGGGCAGGUAGUUUUUUAUCUAUUUAAUUCCUUAUUUUAUUUUGUUUUGAAGCAAUAAAAUUGAUUCAACUCCAGCUGUAUAAACAAUGGAACACCUAUUUAUUCCUUUUUUUGGUGUUCAUUUAUUCUUUUUUUUUUUUUUUUUUUUUUUUAAAUUUUGUUUUGAAGCGAUAAAAUUGAUUCAAGUCCAACUGUAUAAAUAAUGAACACGACCAAUACCGCACGUAAUACGUAUUACCUGUGGUAAUAUGUUGAUCUAUAAUAAACACAUUAUGUGGAUCUAUAGCAUAAUUUCAAAUGUAAACACUGAAAUUACAUUAUAGAUCCACAUAUUAAACGACACGACACUAAGCAUACAAGCUUUCCUUCUUUUAUCUUAUUUUUGUGAAAACCCAAAAGGCAAAAACCAAGUGAGGUAGACAUGACCAAAGCAUACGAAAUUACAGACAGAAAACCAGAAGGAACGAUGCGUGCAUGAAUGCAUGCAACUUUAUUUACACACACGUACCACGGUACCAUCACCACUAGAUAGCAAUCACAAACUGAUCGUGCAGACCAUCAGAGCAAGCGGCUCCGCGGCUUUCCCUUCUUCUCCUUGCCCUCCUUGGCUUCCACCUUGCCCCUCUUGACCACCACCUUGGCGUCUUCCUUUCCAUUCUUGACCACCACCUUGGUCCAGAUUUUGAGCAUUAAAAAAAAUAAUAAUAACAUAAGGGGCCCAGAUUUGGAUUCCCCACCCCCACUUUGUUUGCCCCACUACCCUGCCGUCUGUUCUUUUCUCCCAAGCUCUGCAAAAUUGAUAAAUCCCUACCCUUUUGCCAUUGCAAUCUCUCUCUCUCUCUCUCUCUCUCUCUCUCAUUGAAACUGGGCCGCACAAUGACUUUGCGAAGAUGACCCCCAGGAAUCAGGGAGAUUUGUGUUGGCCACUCUUUGCUUUGUGUUGGCUAAUCCUUACAAGUUCAAGGCUGCUACACCAAAACAAAUUAGAGAGUUAAUGAAGGUUGAUGGGCUUACUAAUGAUGAAGUCAAAAGCCGUUUGCAGACCUUUCUGCGCCUUCAAGUUGGACCAAGUGAGGCUGAGUCAACAUGAAACCACACGUGCGAGGGACAAGUAAUGGUUUUCAUCUAGAAACCUUAUGGGAACCAUUUGCUUUCUAAUUUUCUAUUUUCCUUACCGUCUAAACAAUUUAGGAAAACUCAACAAUUGCAUUUGAAAAAGAAAAAAAAAUAUCAUAAGCUAUAGUUCACAUUUAUCAAAUUACUUUGUGAAAUUCCGUGA